AGAAGGAUAUUCCCAGAAGGGCACAACAGGAAGCAAUUAGCUUGCCCUGCCAGGUGAUCGGCACCAUAUCUCCAUAGCCCACCGUGCAGAGUGUGAUCUAAAAUCGGAAGUAUGGACUAGUACUGGGAUUAUUGGAAGGGACCAGGAAUGAUGCAAAGAUUAGACCUAAGAACCCUAUGUACAUGGUUGUGAUCAGCUCCUGCAAGACAAAAUAUAUAUGUAGUGUUCUUUAGGUCAUUGAAGUGCACUUGUCAUCCCGAUAACGAUAAAGAAGUGAUCUUAUUAAGACCCUAAUCAAAGGGAACUUGAAAAACUACGUUCAAGGUGCAAACUUGGAAUGCA